rnacentral:sRNA from 1 species
UAGUAAUGUUAAAGCAAAAUGAGCAGGAGGUUAUUUGCUUGGAUUUCUUUCUCAGAACUUUAUGUAAGCAAACUGAAACAAAAAUUGAAGGUUUUUUUCUUGUGUGUGUGUGUGUGUGUGUGUGUGUGUGACUGACUUAGGGCAGAGGGCAAGAUAGAAAAUAUCUGGCCUCAGUUGAUCACAAA